rnacentral:rRNA from 1 species
UACGUAGGGGCCUAGCGUUGUCCGGAUUUAUUGGGCGUAAAGCGCUCGCAGGUGGUUCAUUGCGUCGUGCGUGAAAGCCCCCGGCUCACCUGGGGAACUGCGCCGGAAACCGACAGACUCGAGUACCGGAGAGGAGGGUGGAAUUCCUGGUGUAGCGGUGAAAUGCGUAGAUAUUCGCAAGAACACCAGUGGCGAAGGCGGCUCACUGGCCCGAUACUGACGCUGAGGUGCGAAAGCGUGGGGAGCAAACAGG